GAUGAACGCUGGCGGCGUGCUUAACACAUGCAAGUCGAACGGAAAGGCCUCUGCUUGCAGGGGUACUCGAGUGGCGAACGGGUGAGUAACACGUGGGUGAUCUGCCCUGCACUUCGGGAUAAGCCUGGGAAACUGGGUCUAAUACCGGAUAGGACAAUGGUUUGGAUGCUGUUGUGGAAAGUUUUUCGGUGUGGGAUGAGCUCGCGGCCUAUCAGCUUGUUGGUGGGGUAAUGGCCUACCAAGGCGUCGACGGGUAGCCGGCCUGAGAGGGUGUACGGCCAAAUUUGGGCUGAGAUACGGGCCAGGAUCCUUCGGGAGGCAGCAGGGGGGGAUAUUGCACAAUGGGGGCAAGGCUGAUGCAGCGACGCCGCGUGGGGGAUGACGGCCUUCGGGUUGUAAACUCCUUUCGCUAGGGACGAAGCGUUUUUGUGACGGUACCUGGAGAAGAAGCACCGGCUAACUACGUG
rnacentral:rRNA from 1 species